rnacentral:rRNA from 1 species
UCUUUCGUCGCAUGACGGAAGGAAGAAAAAGGAUGGCCUCUAUACAAAAGCUAUCGCCGAAGGAGGGGUUUGCGUCUGAUUAGCUGGUUGGAGGGUAACGGCCCAACAAGGCGAUGAUCAGUAGCCGGUCUGAGAGGAUGAACGGCCACAUUGGGACUGAGACACGGCCCAGACUCCUACGGAGGCAGCAGUGGGGAAUCUUCCGCAAUGGACGAAAGUCUGACGGAGCAACGCCGCGUGAGUGAAGAAGGUCUUCGGAUUGUAAAACUCUGUUAUACGGGACGAAAAAGGCGGAUGCCAACAGUAUCCGUCCGUGACGGUACCGUAAGAGAAAGCCACGGCUAACUACGUGCCAGCAGCCGCGGUAAAU